rnacentral:rRNA from 1 species
CAAUAGCGUAUAUUAAAGUUGUUGCAGUUAAAAGCUCGUAGUUGGAUCUCGGGUCCAGGCCUGCGGUCCGCCUCGCGGCGGUUACUGCUCGUCCUGGCCUACCUGCCGGUGUGUCCCUUGGUGCUCUUGAUUGAGUGUCUCGGGCGGCCGGAACGUUUACUUUGAAAAAUUAGAGUGUUCAAAGCAGGCAGCUCGCCUGAAUAAUGGUGCAUGGAAUAAUAGAAAAGGACCUCGGUUCUAUUUUGUUGGUUUCCGGAACUUGAGGUAAUGAUUAAGAGGGACAGACGGGGGCAUUCGUAUUACGGUGUUAGAGGUGAAAUUCUUGGAUCGCCGUAAGACGAACUACUGCGAAAGCAUUUGCCAAGAAUGUUUUCAUUAAUCAAGAACGAAAGUCAGAGGUUCGAAGAUGAUCAGAUACCAU